GGCAGACUGGAAGGAAGACGAACCUACGAAGCAGAAAUCUGAAGACAGCAUGUACACAGCCAUUCCCCAGAGGUAAGUUGCAUGCCCUAUCUCCUUUCACAACUUCCCCUUCUUCACCUCCAAGGGCUGCCCCUCCCCACUGCUCUUCUCAUCCCCAGACUGCAGUCGCCAGGCCUGCCCAGGGCUGUGCUUGGGUGAGUGGGUCCAGGCUGCUGUCAACCCUCUCUCUUCUCGCAGUGGCUCUCCAUUCCCAGGCUCAGUGCAGGAUCCAGGCCUGCAUGUGUGGCGGGUGGAGAAGCUGAAGCCGGUGCCCGUGGUGCGAGAGAACCAGGGCAUCUUCUUCUCGGGGGACUCCUACCUAGUGCUGCACAAUGGCCCAGAAGAGGUUUCCCAUCUGCACCUGUGGAUAGGCCAGCAGUCAUCCCGGGAUGAGCAGGGGGCCUGUGCCGUCCUGGCUGUGCACCUCAACACGCUGCUGGGAGAGCGGCCUGUGCAGCACCGCGAGGUGCAGGGCAAUGAGUCUGACCUCUUCAUGAGCUACUUCCCACGAGGCCUCAAGUACCAGGAAGGUGGUGUGGAGUCAGCAUUUCACAAGACCUCCACAGGAGCCCCAGCUGCCAUCAAGAAACUCUACCAGGUGAAGGGGAAGAAGAACAUCCGUGCCACCGAGCGGGCACUGAACUGGGACAGCUUCAACACUGGGGACUGCUUCAUCCUGGACCUGGGCCAGAACAUCUUCGCCUGGUGUGGUGGAAAGUCCAACAUCCUGGAACGCAACAAGGCGAGGGACCUGGCCCUGGCCAUCCGGGACAGUGAGCGACAGGGCAAGGCCCAGGUGGAGAUUGUCACUGAUGGGGAGGAGCCUGCUGAGAUGAUCCAGGUCCUGGGCCCCAAGCCUGCUCUGAAGGAGGGCAACCCGGAGGAAGACCUCACAGCUGACAAG
rnacentral:sRNA from 1 species